GGAUUUAUUGGGUGUAAAGGGUGCGCAGGCGGAAAAAUAAGUCUAAUGUGAAAGCCCUCGGCUUAACCGAGGAACUGCAUCGGAAACUGUUUUUCUUGAGUGCAGAAGAGGAGAGUGGAACUCCAUGUGUAGCGGUGGAAUGCGUAGAUAUAUGGAAGAACACCAGUGGCGAAGGCGGCUCUCUGGUCUGCAACUGACGCUGAGGCUCGAAAGCAUGGGUAGCGAACAGGAUUAGAUACCCUGGUAGUCCAUGCCGUAAACGAUGAGUGCUAAGUGUUGGGAGGUUUCCGCCUCUCAGUGCUGCAGCUAACGCAUUAAGCACUCCGCCUGGGGAGUACGACCGCAAGGUUGAAACUCAAAGGAAUUGACGGGGGCCCGCACAAGCGGUGGAGCAUGUGGUUUAAUUCGAUGCAACGCGAAGAACCUUACCAGGUCUUGACAUCUAGUGCAAUCUGUAGAGAUACGGAGUUCCCUUCGGGGACGCUAAGACAGGUGGUGCAUGGCUGUCGUCAGCUCGUGUCGUGAGAUGUUGGGUUAAGUCCCGCAACGAGCGCAACCCUUGUUAUUAGUUGCCAGCAUUAAGUUGGGCACUCUAAUGAGACUGCCGGUGACAAACCGGAGGAAGGUGGGGAUGACGUCAAGUCAUCAUGCCCCUUAUGACCUGGGCUACACACGUGCUACAAUGGGCAGUACAACGAGAAGCAAGCCUGCGAAGGCAAGCGAAUCUCUGAAAGCUGUUCUCAGUUCGGACUGCAGUCUGCAACUCGACUGCACGAAGCUGGAAUCGCUAGUAAUCGC
rnacentral:rRNA from 1 species